GAUGAACGCUGGCGGCGUGCCUAAUACAUGCAAGUCGAGCGAACGGACGAGAAGCUUGCUUCUCUGAUGUUAGCGGCGGACGGGUGAGUAACACGUGGAUAACCUUCCUAUAAGACUGGGAUAACUUCGGGAAACCGGAGCUAAUACCGGAUGAUAUUUUGAACCGCAUGGUUCAAAAGUGAAAGACGGUCUUGCUGUCACUUAUAGAUGGAUCCGCGCUGCAUUAGCUAGUUGGUAAGGUAACGGCUUACCAAGGCAACGAUGCAUAGCCGACCUGAGAGGGUGAUCGGCCACACUGGAACUGAGACACGGUCCAGACUCCUACGGGAGGCAGCAGUAGGGAAUCUUCCGCAAUGGGCGAAAGCCUGACGGAGCAACGCCGCGUGAGUGAUGAAGGUCUUCGGAUCGUAAAACUCUGUUAUUAGGGAAGAACAUAUGUGUAAGUAACUGUGCACAUCUUGACGGUACCUAAUCAGAAAGCCACGGCUAACUACGUG
rnacentral:rRNA from 1 species